rnacentral:rRNA from 1 species
CGGGACGGGUGAGUAAUGCUUGGGAAUCUAGCUUAUGGAGGGGGGUAACUACGGGAAACUGUAGCUAAUACCGCGUAAUAUCGGAAGAUUAAAUGUGGGACCUUCGGGCCACAUGCCAUAGGAUGAGCCCAAGUGGGAUUAGGUAGUUGGUGAGGUAAAGGCUCACCAAGCCGACGAUCUCUAGCUGGUCUGAGAGGAUGACCAGCCACACUGGGACUGAGACACGGCCCAG